rnacentral:rRNA from 1 species
GAUGAACGCUGGCGGCGUGCCAAUACAUGCAAGUCGAGCGAAUGGAUUAAGAGCUUGCUCUUAUGAAGUUAGCGGCGGACGGGUGAGUAACACGUGGGUAACCUGCCCAUAAGACUGGGAUAACUCCGGGAAACCGGGGCUAAUACCGGAUAACAUUUUGAACCGCAUGGUUCGAAAUUGAAAGGCGGCUUCGGCUGUCACUUAUGGAUGGACCCGCGUCGCAUUAGCUAGUUGGUGAGGUAACGGCUCACCAAGGCAACGAUGCGUAGCCGACCUGAGAGGGUGGUCGGCCACCCUGGGACUGAGACACGGCCCAGAGUCCUACGGGAGGCAGCAGUAGGGAAUCUUCCGCAAUGGACGAAAGUCUGACGGAGCAACGCCGCGUGAGUGAUGAAGGCUUUCGGGUCGUAAAGCUCUGUUGUUAGGGAAGAACAAGUGCUAGUUGAAUAAGCUGGCUCCUUGACGGUACCUAACCAGAAAGCCACGGCUAACUACGUGCCAGCCGCCGCAGUAA